rnacentral:rRNA from 1 species
AGAGUUUGAUCCUGGCUCAGGAUGAACGCUGGCGGCGUGUCUAAGGCAUGCGAGUCGAACGCCCUCUUUUAGAGGGAGUGGCAAACGGGUGAGUAACACAUUGGUAAUCUACCUCCAUCACGAGAAUAAUCUCGAGAAAUUGAGUUUAAUACUCGAUAUGUUCCAGAAAUUUAUGUUUUUGGAGUAAAGUUCAGGCGGUUGGAGAGGAGCCUAUGUCCUAUCAGCUUGUUGGUAAGGUAAAAGCUUACCAAGGCUACGACGGGUAGCGGGUGUGAGAGCAUGACCCGCCUCAAUGGGACUGAGACACUGCCCAUACUCCUACGGGAGGCUGCAGUCGAGAAUCUUCCCCAAUGGACGAAAGUCUGAGGGAGCGACGCCGCGUGAAGGAAGACGCCCUUUGGGGUGUAAACUUCUUUUCUUAGGGAAGAACAAAUGACGGUACCUAAGGAAUAAGGGACUGCCAACCUCGUGCCAGCAGCAGCGGUAAUACGAGGGUCCCAAGCGUUAUCCGGAAUCACUGGGCGUAAAGCGUCUGUAGGUGGUUUAUUAAGUCAGAUGUUAAAUAUUAGGGCUCAACUCUAAUGCUGCAUCUGAUACUGGUAAACUAGAGGAUGGGAGAGGUAUGUGGAAUUGCCGGUGUAGUAGUCAAAUGCGUUAAUAUCGGUAGGAACACCAAAUGCGAAGGCAUCAUACUGGAACACUCCUGACACUGAGAGACGAAAGCGUGGGUAGCGAAUGGGAUUAGAUACCCCAGUAGUCCACGCCGUAAACGAUGAGCACUAGGCAUUGGAAGUAUCGACCCUUCCAGUGUCGUUAUAUCUAGCUAACGCGUUAAGUGCUCCGCCUGGGGAGUACGACCGCAAGGUUAAAACUCAAAGGAAUUGACGGGAACCCGCACAAGCGGUGGAACACGUGGUUUAAUUCGAAGAUAAGCGAGGAACCUUACCAGGGUUUAAAGUCUAACUGCAAAUCCUAAGAAAUUAGGACUCCUUCGAGGGUGUUAGAAAUGGUGUUGCAUGGUCGUCGUCAGCUCGUGGCGUGAGCUGUACGGUUAAGUCCGGUAACGAGCGCAACCCAUGGCCUAUGUUAUAUUGUCAUAGGUGACUGCCCAGCAUAACUGGGAGGAAGGUGUGGAUGACGUCAGAUCAGCAUGAUCCUUACAUUCUGGGCUACACGCGUGUUACAGUGGCCAAUACAAUGGGUCGCCAAGUCGCGAGAUGGAGCUAAUCCCAUCAAAGUUGGUCUCAGUUCGGAUUGUAGGCUGCAAUUCGCCUACAUGAAGUUGGAAUCGCUAGUAAUCACAAAUCAGCAACGUUGUGGUGAAUACGUUCUCGGGCUUUGUACACACCGCCCGUCAUGCCAGGAGAGUUGGUAAUGCCCGAACUACGUUGAUAGAACGUAGGAAGGUAGGAUUGACGAUAAGGGUAAAGUCGUAACAAGGCA